GACGAGCGCUGGCGGCGUGCUUAACACAUGCAAGUCGAACGGAAAGGCCCUGCUUUUGUGGGGUGCUCGAGUGGCGAACGGGUGAGUAACACGUGAGUAACCUGCCCUUGACUUUGGGAUAACUUCAGGAAACUGGGGCUAAUACCGGAUAGGAGCUCCUGCUGCAUGGUGGGGGUUGGAAAGUUUCGGCGGUUGGGGAUGGACUGGCGGCUUAUCAGCUUUUUGGUGGGGUAGUGGCUUACCAAGGCUUUGACGGGUAGCCGGCCUGAGAGGGUGACCGGCCACAGUGGGACUGAGAUACGGCCCAGACUCCUACGGGAGGCAGCAGUGGGGAAUAUUGCACAAUGGGCGGAAGCAUGAUGCAGCAAAGCCGCGUGCGGGAUGACGGCCUUCGGGUUGUAAACCGCUUUCGCCUGUGACGAAGCGUGAGUGACGGUAAUGGGUAAAGAAGCACCGGCUAACUACGUG
rnacentral:rRNA from 1 species